rnacentral:ncRNA from 1 species
UCCCCGCUUUCCCUCCCUGAGCGGGGCCUUUCAAAAAGGCUUCGGGGCAUAGGUUAACCCCUUUUUCCUAUGCCCCCUUUUAU